AGAAGUUGUGCAGGGCAUUGGUUUGUAUCGCUGCCUCAGAAGUUGUGCAGGUUACAUAUGGGUCGGUAUUAAGUUGAUGCAUGAGAGGAACAAAAUUUCGAUUGAAUUCUCAUAUGAUGUGCCCUAUGAUUCCGACAGUGGCAAAAGAAGAAGUUAAUGGUCGAGUGACAAAUAAGAGUAAUAGAAGAUCAUAUUUGAUGAAAGCAAAAAGAAAACAAUAAUUGGAAUCCAUAGUUCUGGAUACUGAAACCAGUAUGGGGUCUAUGUUGUCUUUACACAAUGAAAAAAGAUGGAACUAAUUGAUUAAAGGUCCGAAAGUCUUCCAUGGGAAAGACGGGGUUAUCCCACUUUCCGAAAGAUGUCAACUUUCGAAUGACAACAUGGAAACAGAGUACUCUGCCCCUUAAUUUCAUCCUUCAGUUGCAAAAACAGCCUCAAUAAGUUUUAUCAUUAUUCGGAUCAGGAGGUCCUUUUAGUUUCGAUUCUCUCUCUCGGAAAUGGAAAUCGAAGAAGAAGAGAAACCCAUUUUCUGAAAGAAGAGAAAACCAUUUUCUGAAGACAAAUCAUCUAAUAAGCACGAGGCAAUGGGAAAUGAGUGGUUGGAAACAGGGAACUGUCCUAUCGCCAAAUCAUAUAGAGCUGGCGUCAACUUUUCAGCUGCCUCCUGGAAUGAAACUUAAAUGCCCACCUGCAGUUGUUGCAGUCAGGGCUGCCCUGGCUAGGACUUUUUUUUUGUGAAGACUAUGCGGCCGCAACCACUAUAUUCAAAGAUGCUUGUUAAUGGAGCCUUGGGAAUGACAGUUAAUAUUCCACUAGGGAUAUGAAGAGAACACACUGAGAAGUUUUCACUAUCACGGUUUACUGCAGUUCAUGCUGCUGUUCCCUUCAUAGCUAUGUUGACGAAAUCAGUUGUGAUCCCCUAAACAGCUAUGGCAUUAACCAUUGCUGCUUCUAUCUUGGGACAGGUCAUUGGCUCAAGAGCAGAGAGACUUUGGAUGAAAGCAAAAGCCAACAACAACAAAGCAUACCCAAUGUAGUUCCACAAAGGGAAAUUUGGGGAGGGUAGAGUGUACGUAGACCUUACUCUAUAGUUCUUUGAUAGACCCUCGACUCAAGAAAAAACCAAGAGUGUUAAAUUGGUAGUACAGACUGAUUCAGAUAUAUGGGGUUAUUGCAGGUCUCAACUCAAUUCAAGUCCAUGCAUCCUCGGGGUCAUUGUGGCAAACAGAAGCUGCUUUAUCUCUCCAUCUGCCAGUCUCCAUUUCUAAACUUUUUUUAGAACUGGCAAUUAAGCAGUAGAUCUUGAAUGCUGAAAAUAAGAGGUGUGUGACCCUUGCCAAAGAGAGCAAGAUUUAACUGUUAUUGAAAGUUGGACAAAAUUGAAGAUUGAAAAGAAGUGCUUCAACAAUUGACGGUAGAUGACUGAUGAGAAGUGCAUUAACAGUCGAAAGUUCCUCACAAACAAAAAAUUGAAGAAGUUGGAGAGAAGUACUCCAACAUAGACCAAACACAAUAAAAUGAAAAUUGAAGAGAAGCACUCCAUCACAAACAAAAGAGAAGUGCUCUCCAAUACGAAAAAACAAAAGAGGCAAGAAUAUACAACUUUGAAUAACAAAAAAAUAUCGAAAGAAGAACAUUUAUUGUACGUAAGACUUUAUAUAUGAUUUGCACGAAUCAAACUAUAUCAGAGCAAGCAAAUAAGUGAUUUUGUGGACAGA